GCAAACACACUACGACGUGCAAAAAUAAUUGUAAACGAGAAAAAAGAAAACUAAACCAAGAAAAGCAACCCAUAUGUACCCGCGUUAAGUAAGAGGGCACUGUACAAUAAAAGCGCUACUUGAGAAAUAGCACCCGAAUGUAAUUUUUCAAGUAGUCCAGGCAUCAAACAUUCGAUUCACCAAGUGCUAAUAGAAAUCUACGGUUCAAAGCAUAAUAAGAUUGCUGGCAACGACAAUAUCGCGUAGCCUUAUUAAGGCACAUAUAUAUAUUGGCCAGGGCAUAAAUAUGGAACAAGAACUUUCGUAAUAGAACAUUUACACCUGUGCGAGUGACUUUACUUCUAUCGGAAAUGAAUUCUCUAUUGGCCAUUUUGCGGAAACUAUGAGCAAAUGCUCACAGAAGUGUCUAGGGUGUCACAGUAGGGGCAGUUGGCAGUUGUGUUCCUUUUUAUUGGCUGAAAGAAGCAAGGUGUGCAGGACACGUGCUGUCGUAAACGGUAAAGAGAGGCAUUUAAUUUACGGUUAACUUUCAUGUUAAUAGAAAACCACAGAUACUCGAUGCCCACUCGAUACUGCAACGACGUCAUGUUUGCUUGUUCAACCGCAUACUUUCAGAUAGCGCUCUAUGCAGCUUGCGGAGAACGCUGUAACUGCUUCUGAGCGUUUGUUAAAGAAAUUGAAAGGUAAAGCGCCCUCAGCUAAUCAGCCGGCGUCGUCACAGAGUUACCGCAAAAGAGUUGCCGCAAUUUUUCCAUGCACUCAAUUUCCCACAAGUUAAAGAAAGUGGCUGGACAUUGUGACCUUGACGUUGGUUUUUUUCCCGUGGCAAGAAAGUUGGUGGUGUAUGCGCUGCGAUUGUUAUGCGUAGUACAAGGGUUGGAGCAGGAGCGAGAGUGAUAGCGCUUGCUCUGGUAAUCAUGUGAAUAAGUACACUGAUUGUUCCUCCGGAGUGGUGCAUAUGAUUCCUUGCACGUGUGGUAGCGUCUACAUCAGACAGAGUGGUCGGUAUUUAAAUAUCAGGCCUCGCGAGUAUGCCAAUUUCUUAAAGCUGGUGGUGUCGUCGUAUCUUGCCAGCCAUUAUCGUGAUCUUGGAUGCGUGCCUUAUUUUGAGGAUAUCUCAAUCAUCAUGAAACACAACGAUCAGGCCGCAAACGAAAUGGCUGAGGCAUAUAUAACGUAGUAAAGAACAAGAACAUGUGUAUAAGCCAGCCGUCAGUUUCGCUAUCAAAUGAAGAGUUCGCCUUUAUUGAUUGCGAGUGAAUAUGUGAUGAUGUUUUAUACGUUACCAACAUGAAUGUCAUAAUCAGUGUCUCUGUAAUAAUUUUCUUCCAAGAAAAACUUUGAUUUGUUUGACCAGCAAAAUUGUCUUGUUUUUCCUUUGUCUUGUUUUGUUUCUAUGUGCACUGCCCAAGAAUGGCUAUGGUUAGUGCAUUUGCGACAGCCUGCGUUAGCGAAUAAGAAUCGGCACAAUAACAUAUUGAGCCAAUGACUCCAGUGCAGCUUGCGAUUCAUUAUAUAUGACCGAAUUAUUAUUUACUUUUUUUAUCAAGUGUGCAUUUUAUUGCCUGAGAAUUGUAUUGUUCUGCCGAGAUAAAUCACGUCUUGUGCGUAUAAUGGUAACUUGCACUUUCAUUGUUCGUUGGGUCGUCAGACACAAAUGCAGCUAUUCUGUGUUGUGGGUCAAUCAGGAAGUGUAAAUGUAGAUGUAAAUCAGUAAAUCACUAAAUGACCGUAUAGCCCUCUUGCAAUCGACCGAGCUGUAGCGGCAUUGCAGGAAGCCCGCCGCGGUGGCUCAGUUAUAUCUAAGCCGUUGCGCUGCUGAGCACGAGGUCGCGGGAUCGAAUCAAGGCCGCGGCGGCCGCAUUUGGAUGGAGGUGAAAUGCAAAAAUGCCCAUGUGCUUGCGUUGUAGUGCACGUUAAAGAGCCUCAGGUGGUCAAAAUUAAUCCGGGGCCCUCCACUACGGCGUGGGUCAUAAUCAGAACUGGUUUAGGCCCGUAAAAACGCACAAAAAGAAGGCAUUGCAGGAAAAUGUAAUAUUAGGUAAGCAAGUCACGGAUCGGCAGUGUUCAGUGGCACGGCUACGAUGCAAAGCAAACGUGCUCUGGAAGCACUACGAUAGUGUGAAAAAAGAAAUUCUGCCACCUGUAGUUUGCCAUGGCAUUCAGAAACGCCUAUUCACUUCGCAUCACAAUGCCGGAGAACCCUACAUGCGACAGCCGAGGCUGUGAGGAGACGAUUGCGCAUUUACUAUUCGAAUGUCGUAGCCUAAGUGCAACUGGAGUUGCUUUUAACCACAUUAAGCAGGCUGGACGAUCACAAAAGAUCAAUAAUGCAUUCAUAAACCUAUUUUGUUUACAAUUUUCCAUCUGAAUCUUCUUGAUAGAUUCAUGAUUUUAAUACUUCUUUUUCGAGAAAUUAAUAAUUUUAUUAUAAAAAUUAUUAAGAAAAGCUUGUAACAACCUUUUUUCUCCCAAUAAAGUUAACUUGAUACACUUGAUGUGGUCAUUACAAUAAAUGCUUUCAUACGUUUAAUCCCUAUUAAAAAAUAAAGAAAUACUCGUUAAAACAAAACAAUAUCCGGUUUUCAAUUAAAAUUUUAUUAUUUUCUCUACUUUUAUUCCAAAUAAUUUUACAUUUUCAACGCUUUCAAUUGAUUUAUUAAUUUCUCUUUGUCGGAAGCGAGAACCCUAGGACUAUGGAUCGAGACGAUCCUGAGCACGGAAAGCGUUGAACGCGUUGCGUUUCUUGAGGACAAGCGGAAUGAGUGAUAAGACUGCCAGAAGGGUCGCGAGCGCGAGCUGCAUCAAACUCAUGUCCAGUUUUCCUCAUCUUCUUUUUAUUUCUGCUGAGCUCACCUCCGGUUAUCAUUGAAUCCCUCCGUAUACUUACAAGAGUACAGGGUAGCUAGCCCGUCUAUGUACUUGCUAACCUCCCUGCCUUUCCUUCUUCUAAUUCUACUUCUUUCACUUACAAAAAGGUCCUCCGCUUCUCGCCAAAAAAAAAAAAGAAAGAUGCUGUUUGAAGACAGUGUAUUCUAGGACGUUUGACAUUGCUCUAAAGCAUUAGGUGGCUGCAUUGGUGUGACGAGGCAUGCAGUGCUCAAAGGGCACUGCAGAAAAAUGUGAUAUUAGGUACGAAAGUCACGAAUCAGCAGUGUUCAGUGGCCAGAGAUGAAGCAUAGCGAACGUGUUCAGGAAACACUAGAAAGGUCUGAAAAGAGAAAUAGUGCCGCCUCUGUCAUUGCAUGGCCUUCACAAACGCUCAAUUAUUCAUUUCGCAUCAAAAUUCCCAGCAACCGCGCGCGCACGCCAUAACUGUGGCUGGGAGGAAACGAUUUUUAAUCUCCUUUGCGAAUGUCCUUGGUUCGUUGUACCUAGAAUAUAACUCUCAACCGCAGUAGACUGACUGGACAAUCGUAAGGUUUUUCACUAGCGAGAAUGUUUGGACGCUAAUGAUUUUAUAUACAGUGCCGAGUACGUAAUGCGGCUCACAAUCAGAGCCUGCACUAGUCAUGUCAGGUUAUGUUCCUUGAGUCUGUUUUUCCUGCUGCUAACUCGAUGCAUCAUGCGCAAGGUCUGCGUGGUCGUUAUCGUACCUUCUGUGUAGCAUAUCCUAAGCCCCCGACCCCCGACCUUUUCUAAGUGUAAGCCAAGGAUGCGAAGUCUGUCAACUUUUGGGAUUCUUCCAGAACUUAUUCGCAGGUCGAUGGUUGGUUCCAUGGUUGUUGAUUUUCUUCGUGAGCGGUUCUCGAUUAUAAGGAUCCAAGACUUCUCCAAUGCGCAUUGCGUACGUUUACAAUGCGCAGAAGCGACGUCUACUGCCUCCUGGGAUGCCUGGAACUGGAACGCCGAUGCAUUUCUCCUCAGAGUUCGGGAAUUAAUAUCUCGAAACUGGUGUCAUCCUGGGAAUUCGUUUCAAGUGGAAUUCAAGUUGAAUUUGCUUCAACUCCCUUGUGCGGCCUUCAGCCAUUACACUUCUAAUGCGUAAGCAUUUCUAUGCGUACCCAACGAGGAAGACCAUUCAUCCGUCCGUCAUGUAAGACGAUCGCUUUCAAAAUAGGACCCUCAGCGGCGAGCGAAUUCACCUUCGGGCUGCCUCUUACUUCAACGCGAACUAGGCGGUGGGAACAAAGCGCUACCGAAGCUGUCAGCACUUGUCGCACUCUGCCGCCAUCGCAAACCGCUUUCAUGAUAGAGGCCCGUGCGUCUCGUUUCAACGCGAAGUAAUCGGUGAGAACAAAUCGCACACACACCUAUCUGCACUGGGCACACUUUGUCGCCUUCGCAGAUCGCUUUCAAGAUACAGCCUGCGUGGCCGCGCCAUACGCAGCCACCACCGGAUUACAGUUGAUCGCAGUUGAUGAUGGUUCGACGCGGAUGGGUGAGGCGCUAAAGAGCGAUAACGGCGUAAGGCUGUUUCACAUGAUGCGAUUUUCAUCGCACCGGAAGUGCGAUUUCUGUCGCAUGCGACCAAAAUCGCAGUCGCAGUGCCGACCCUGCGAUUAUCGGCUGCGACCGCAGCGAUGUUCCGUCGACAUUGCGCCGAGAGCUAUUUCGCGGUUUGUUUUCGGAAAUGGUGUCGAUCGUUCAACACAACGUUUAUAGAUACUUUUUUUUUGCUUUAAAUGUUCGCUGAACAAGUCUCGAACGAUGCAACUAAUUGAGUGGAGCCGUGGACUGCGCAAGCGGUUUCAUACCAUCAGCACCGCCACGCGAACAAGGCAGAUAAAAACUCGUAGGUCAGAUUUGUUCUGUGAUUUCUACGCGUUUGUUGACACGCUACGUUGGUAAUCAGGCAACGCUUUUUUAUGUUGAAUUCUGGGGCUGAUAGUAGGUACUUUUGCAUGCCUUUCCGUUAUUCACACAUGCUGCGAGCUGGUAAAUACUACGAGGUGUCCCUCACGGGAAGACAUGGCCUUCGGAUGUCGUCCCUAUUUCUGGCUGUACAAGCUACUCGCGAUAUACGAAAACGCCACAUUUGUAGCGCGGUAUGCUUUUACGUACGGAACAACUUAAAGAAUAUGCAACAACGGACAAGUUCUGCGGUCAAAUGGUCUCGCUAUACGCACGGCCAUUUAGUUGCAGUCGGUUGGUUUGAGCUUUCACGCGGAUUUUCCCCAAUGACUUAUCUCAUUUCAAGGUUAUGUUACUUCCACUGCGAGACGCGACUGCUUAUCAAGCUCGCAAAGUGAACGUACAAUCUAUAUAUCGCAAUGAAUGUUCUCCAAUAGCAUAUUUAGCGCUUUGACUGGGAAUAAACAGCAUCGUCAAUUUGUUUUGAAAGCAUUAUUAUGUUGUAUGUCAUUUUUCUGAAAGUAGCAUGUUUCUCCUGCACAAAAACCAAUAAACCUUCAAUCUGUUGCAGACUUUGUAUCUUUACUGCACCUGUAUUAACCCUCACAUUAAAAGGUAAUUUCAUACUGCGCUUACUUCAGGGCAUCGAAUUUCUCUUGUUUGUGCUGGUCGUAACACAUCCCAGUAUUCUAAGAAACUACAUUGCCAUAAACAUCCUUGCCUUUCCUUGCUUCCCUCUCUCUACUUCCUGUAAAACACAUGCAACAAUGUAAAAAGCAGGCAAACACCUUGUUUUUAUGAGCAGUAGAUAACACAUUUAGCAAAAGCAGAUCAAAAUUGUGCGAAGUCAGCCGGUUGCAUUCCUUUCCUGUGAAUGAUAGCAUCUUUUCAAGUGUGGGUGGUUCUUGCAUGUCCACAGCUCAUAUAGUGUGCAGACGCAUCACGGGUCGUGCCCGACAAGAUGGAGGCAAUGUUGGUAAUGAGUGUGCAAUUACAUGUAUUAACGCAGAAGCUUGUAUAAACAUACCCCACCAUUACUCAGUCGAGCCUGCUCGGACUCAUAUUCACCAAAGUUCUACUCAGCCGAGCUUGCUCUGAGUCAUAUUCACCAAAGUUCUACUUAGCCGAGCUUGCUCUGACUCAUAUUCAUCAAAUUUCUACUCAGCCGAGCUUGCUCUGAGUCAUAUUCACCAAAGUUCUACUUUGCCGAGCUUGCUCUGACUCAUAUUCAUCAAAUUUCUACUCAGCCGAGCUUGCUCUGAGUCAAAUUCACCAAAGUUCUACUUAGCCGAGCUUGCUCUGACUCAAAUUCAUCAAAUUUCGACUCAGCCGAGCUUGCUCUGAGUGAUAUACACCAAAGUUAUCGCUAGCCGAGCUUGCUCUGACUCAUAUAUUAUUCAACAUGAUACUCAGCUGAGUUUGCUCUGACUCAUAUUCAAAAUUAUACUCAGCGUAGCUUGCCCUGACUACCACGUGACAAUAUCGACCAAAGUUUACUCAGCCUAGCUAGCUUACUCAUAUUCACCAAAAUUCUACUCAGCCAGGCUCACACGAACUCAGCCUCAUGGUUAGGUCCAAGUCUUAGUCAGCCGAUGCUUGAGUGAGUUCACCGAGCUAUGUACACAUUACAUUAGGUGACCUGUGCGGUGCACAAGCAAACAUUGCAUAUGAGUACGUGUUGCAUGGAAUAAAAUAAGGACAACUGUACACAUUGCAGUUACCUUUACAGAAUUUAAUUGACCGUUGUGUGAAAGGUUUGCCUUAUGUCGAUUCCAGCAAGUGCAUUGAAUCUAAAUCAUAUUUUUUGCCAAUGCUGCUGGCUAUCUUGGCCAUUACUGGGUGGCCACAUUUUGUCAUUUCAAAGCAAAGUUGAUAAAUGACUGUGGUGCAAUGUAUUUAAAAAGAAGAUGCUUGCAUCACUGCAAGUACAACAACCAGAACAUGGUACAAACACAUGCACAUAAAAAGAUGCACAGAAAUGCUAAAUACAUGAGCAGAAGGAAUAAGUUGGCCGCCACCUAUUUUAAGCAAACAAAAGAAGAAAGAAAAGCACAGGACCAACACUGCAAUGGGACCACGCAUAAUCAUUCCCCUUGUCGGGUACAUGGGCUAUAGGCGAAACUCACGGGGAACCUAGCAGUUACGUUGAGGUAGCAGCUAUGGACGCUGUUGCAUUCCACAGCUGGCUACUCAACCACUCAAGUGUUUUCAGUCUGCGCUUGUACUUAGGCACACUUUUUAUUGUCUAUAUAUUAAAAAUUAAUUAGGUCUCCUCAAAAAUUUCACAAUGUUUGGAUUCUGAGACUUGCAAAGAUAAAUAGUUCUAUUCCAUUCUUGUUCAUGAAGAAAGCUCAUACAAAAGCUUAGAGAUAUUUUCAGUGCCCCUCACUUUCCACCAGAACAUACGUAGUAUGUUAUCGACAUUCAAGCAGCUUUUCGACAGCAAGAAAGGGAAUUUGCUUCCCCUGUUUUCAGAAUUUGGUUAAUUCACGGAGGCGUAAAGUUUUGCUAAUACCAUCCGUUUGGGAAUACCAGAAUAAAUUGUGCCUUGACACUUUCCUUGCACUUUCUCAUUUUGGUGAAAUAAUCUAGUUUGAAAUGGCUCCUAUUAGCAUGCUCUAACGUUGGUCUAAUACAGGUUAAGUAAAUGACUAGUUUAACAGAUUGGGAUGCUGGCUUUCAUUUCCAGGGAAGGGACCGUAGCACCUGCUGCAGUUGCAUAUGUUUUUGGUUAUCUGGGGUUUGCAGGCCCACCUUUAAGAUAAUGUGCUGAAGCAGGUAGAAGCACACGCAUGCCAUUGGCGGGUAGUUUCGAUAGUUUCUUACUUUACGCUUAAAACUACGAAUACAAAAUUUUAGCGUUAUAUUUUGUUCUUAAACAAACAAAUGUAUACUCCUAACAAGGUAUUCAACCUUUUCCUUGGGGCGACACCGCUGUGCUACGUACUGCAGCAUAUUGACUUAAGCUUCUUGAUACAGAUUCACGGUAUACUAACCGCGCGAGAGACAGGACUAGAAAGUAGACAACGCCCAUGUCUGUUAGAAUGCUAUGAUGCUACGUACACAAGCGACUGCAGCUCCUAAGUGACUGCAGUGACUGCAGCUCCUUAUACGCCUUUGGAAAUCUUCAGAGAGGGCUUGUAUACUUAAUUACAGCACACGCGCCGCGUGUGCUGUGAUUAUGUAACCAGGCUGGCGCUAAGAUUAAAGUUCACAACACAAAUUCCAAUGCACGUUCAGUAAUUACACACAGAUCAUUUGCGACUUCUUUCAGGGGAAGACGGGAGCUUUCGUGUUUGUGCCAUAAUAUUGCUAGGAGCUGGAACCACUUAUGCGCAAUUACGAGAAAUGUACACAGAUCCGUUCUUCAGAAGCUGACGUUAAGCACCGGUAGCGCGACGGUCUCUCUGCGUUGAUAUGACGACUUCGCUGCAGCUGAAUUCCGAAUACGGCAUAUGUGAGGAGGACAGCUAUAUGGGCUUGUUGAUAGGUCAUGUUGUAGUUUGUCGUAGCGCAAGCAGAGCGACGCGGACAUGGAAGACACACGAGACAGCACAUAGCGCUGAACGACCAGCUGCAAGCAGCUGCUUACGUCCGCCAUAACUCCUCGCACUUAACUUGAGAAACCGCUGUUGCGCACUCCAAAACAAAUUAAUCUUUGAAGCCUUCCUAAAUAACAAAACACGCGUAUUAUUUGCUCCUAUUAAAGAGAGGCCAAUAAUUUUGUAAUGUACAGGUUUCUUUAUUACGUUUGAAAAAAUUAUGCGGUGUAUGCUACAAAAUUUGGCCGCAAGCAACCCUGGGCGUCGCACCAGCCGCAUUGUUGAAAUCGCAAUCGUGUGAAAUGAGUCCUCUAAAAAUCGCAUUGCGACGCGUGCGACUACAGCGAUUUUUGUCGCUCCAGACGCAGCAUGUGAAACAGCCUCUAUAAUGAUCAGAAUAUCAUAAGAGCACCUGGCUCCGCCACCUGCAGUAGUUUGCUUGAUUCAUCAAUUCAUGUUGUGCCGCCAUCCGCAGCAUUUCGUGUCGCCGCAGCGCUGUUGUUUAUACUUGUCAAGUUUCGUAACACUGACAAUGGCACCGGGCUGCGUGGAGAUGAGCAAGUGGCACAACGCUUGCGCAUACUCACACAACUCCCAGAAGAGUGUCCGCAUGAUUGAUUUUCACAGUUACGCUGUAAACGAAUCCAGUUUUGCAUCUUAAGGUUGUUGGAUUGUUUGUUUGCUAAUUCCACUUAUCCAGUAAGGCAAUCAAGAAUUUUUUUGCAAGACUUUGAGCUCACAACUGCGCCUUCGCUGAGAGAUGCUAGAGUUGAAAAAUAUACUAUUCCUUACCACAUAGUGCGCAUGAAAAUAUCUUAAACGACAGUUUGAAAAUCAUGAAAGCUGAGAUUUACUUCUCUUCGUUUUCGUGUUGCGUGUAGCAGCUUUCAUCAUGAUUAUUCGUCAAAAACGCAUCAAAAAAUAAAAAAAGGAAACCUCCCUGUCUCUCUAGCAAAGUAACGGUAACUUUCGGUAACGCCACCGAUGGCAACACCGGAUUUUCGCAUAAUGGGGCCAUAUAAUGAUUUCGCAUUAAAAAUAUAGUCCGAUCGAGUACAGACCAUCGCAUUUCUGCCGCUUAGUCUUGGAUCGCCCCUCACCUGCAAGAACCGAGAACGCCGUGAUGAAGACACCAGUGCUCAGACUGGCUAUCACCCUGUUUCAGCAGGUAAGUUGCGAAGCAGCCAAGUUCUUGAAUGGCUAAGUUAUUCAAUGGCUAACUCGCCUACCCUUGAGGCAAUGAAAAAUGUUCUACGUGACAACGAACACAAAACGGCAGCUUCGCGCAGAGAAGCCAUAGUAAAAAAAAAAAAAAAAGCCGGCAGAUCCCACGCCCUGUGGGAAUCGAUGCUAUACGGAGCAUUGCGCAGGGAGCUGGUUAUGGCACAUCACUUGACGUUCAGCCAAGCGUUAUCAGGCGGACGAACGCGUUUGUAAAUCAUGCAGUUUUGUGCGUAACGGGAGCGUACGUCUGCGAAAUGACAGUACACAUAUUUACGCUUACGCUGUAAUGUACCCCAGCUAAUGAAGUGAUUGUUAAGACAUAUUGUCGUUUGUCAUUCAUGUCAUGACAUAUGACAUGUCAUGAGAUGUCAUUCAUUACCGCAUGCUUGUCAUGCAUGCACAUUCUGAUAUAUGCUGUGUUAAUGAAAUCACCACGACCGGUUCACGACAUAUCUCUCGUCAUUACAGCCAUUCAUGUCAUGAUAUGUGACAUACUUGUCAUGAACAUUCAUGUCAUGACCUGUCAUUUAUGCGUGUCAUAGGCGGACGUCAUGUGAUGUACAUUCUGGUAUAUAUCAAGGUAAUCAAACGACCACAAUGGCAUCACGAUGUCACCCUGCCAUGCAUUUCAUUACCAACAUGGCACGCAUGUCAAGAUAUUCAUGUCAUGACCUAUCAUUUAUGCUCGUCAAACACUCUUGUUAUACUACGCCAAUUUUGGUACACACCAAGUUAACGAAACAACCAUGAUCGCAUCAAGAUGUAGCCGACUAGAUAGAUAGAUAGAUAGAUAGAUAGAUAGAUAGAUAGAUAGAUAGAUAGAUAGAUAGAUAGAUAGAUAGAUAGAUAUAUAGAUAGAUACUCUUAAACUGGCAAAUGUCCGGCAAAAAAUGCUUCGCAUUUAAAAGUGUACAUAUUCUGACUUUCUGACGCGCUUAAAUUUAUCUGGCGCGAUAGUUGGAUAGCGAUAGCAAUGAGCGUUUACAGCACGCAGUUUUCCUGCUCUGCAUCGUACCUAUCAGCAUAUUUACUCGUCCCGAAAGCCAGAAAAACAACCUUAGUUUCUUUCUAUCAAUUAUUGUAAAUAAGCAUUUGAUUGCGAAGGUGUUAGUUGUGUGAAACAGUCAAAGCCCAUCAAACGGUGUUAAAAUGUGUAGUGUUUACCAUAAAACCAAACCCGCCAUAGCACGCCGCGUCGAAUGCUCGGAAACAAGGAAAAACUAAUUUUCGUACCAAUACAUUUUGAAGGUCAGUGACUGACGCCAUUUGACACAGUUAUUCGAUGAAACAUAAUAAUCAAGUAAUAAUCAGACAUAAAAUUUAUAUUUGCAGCUUAGCUUGGACUUGACUGGAAGCUUAGCUCAUUGCUAAGUACGGACACAGCAAGCAGCACAAGGCCGCACGAUGUUUACGUGCCGUUCUAGGAAACGUGCCAAACAAAUCGGUGCUCACAUCGCAAAGAAUUGGCUCAACGCCUUUCAGCAUUUAUUCUUACUUUCUCACUCUUAGCGAAGCGAGCCUAAGAGAACAGUUGGUUGCGCAAAGCUACGUGCUCAGUUUACCCAGCUUUCGUAAACAAGGUUAAGGGAAAAGACCUCAUGGUAAAUGAUAAUAUAUAUUCUGGAAGUAGCCUGGAGUGAUGCAAGAAUGUUGUCCCUCGCUAACAGCGUCCGUAUAUAAGCUGCAGCGGACGUAAUGAAAACAUUCUGGCUCGAGUAUAGACCCCUGCGCUUGAGUCGAUUAGUCUUUUAUCGCCACUCGCCUGCAAGUUCCUAGAACACCACGAUGAAGACAACGGUGCUCGUACUGGCUAUCCUUCUUGUCUCAGCAGUGAUGCUGACGGAGGCGACACCAGCUGGCAAAGGUCCCGCCAGAGGAGGGGGCGCACGGGGGCGUCAGCAACGCAAGAAAUGUGGGAACUACUACUGCGAACCAAACGAAACCUGCGAGCCAUCUUUUGUGGGGCCUGCAUGUACCAAACACGGUGUGUACGAUUAAAAGACCAAUGGAUCAGCACCAACGAGAUCGACCUGCUUGUCUGCUCAAUAAAGUUACUUGCGCUCACCAA